UUCCUCUUGCCAUUCUUUCUCAUGUCCUCUUCCUCUCCUCCACUUUUCCUCCCAUCCACCUUCACCUCAUCCACUCAUUGCCUCUUCCUCCCUCAGAAACCUUGGCACUCCACAUAGAGCGUGAAGGUGGAUAGUUAUUUUGCUCCACCAUCACCACCGCCACCAUCACCACUACCGCUACCACGACCACCACCACAGUCACCAUCAGGAGCAAAACUUCCGCCAGGACAUCAGAAGUACCUCAGAUGAUGUUGUCUCAAAAUAAUGACAUUUCGAAACUGCUCCUGACUGCAGUGUUCUUAUGAGCCUCCAACUAACCAUUGCUCAUCGCUGCGGUGAUUAACUGCCUCUCCUCUUAAUAUGGCUGGGGGAGGACUCACCUGACCACACCAUUCAAGCUGUUGAAGCCAACCUGGAAGUGAGGAUAGAGGGACAACUGAGCGUCCUUUUUGCGGUACGAGAGUCACGGUGGACAAGACAAGUGCUGAUCGCUGCCAAGCCACACCCGCCCGCCGAGGACGUCACCGCGGAAGACAACUGGUAGCCGAUACUUAGUCCAGGUCGUUUUUUUUUUUUUUUUUUUUUUCCACUGUUACGGAAGACACCUUGUACGUUCCCUUCCC